UACGGAGGGAGCUAGCGUUGUUCGGAAUUACUGGGCGUAAAGCGCACGUAGGCGGCUAUUCAAGUCGGGGGUGAAAGCCCGGGGCUCAACCCCGGAACUGCCCUCGAAACUAGGUAGCUAGAAUCUUGGAGAGGCGAGUGGAAUUCCGAGUGUAGAGGUGAAAUUCGUAGAUAUUCGGAAGAACACCAGUGGCGAAGGCGACUCGCUGGACAAGUAUUGACGCUGAGGUGCGAAAGCGUGGGGAUCAAACAGG
rnacentral:rRNA from 1 species